GCGAUCCCAGGUCAGGCGGGGCUACCCGCUGAGUUUAAGCAUAUCAAUAAGCGGAGGAAAAGAAACUAACGAGGAUUCCCUUAGUAGCGGCGAGCGAACCGGGAAGAGCCCAGCGUGAAAAUCGUCCGUCAUCGGCGGCCGAAUUGUAGUCUGGAGAAGCGUCCUCAGUGACGGACCGGACCCAAGUUCACUGGAAGGUGGCGCCGGAGAGGGUGAGAGCCCCGUCGUGUCCGGACCCUGUCGC
rnacentral:rRNA from 3 species